rnacentral:rRNA from 1 species
UACGUAGGGCGCAAGCGUUAUCCGGAAUUAUUGGGCGUAAAGAGCUCGUAGGCGGUUUGUCGCGUCUGCCGUGAAAGUCCAGGGCUCAACCCUGGGAUGCCGGUCGAUACUGCCGGACUAGAGUUCGGAAGAGGCGAGUGGAAUUCCCGGUGUAGCGGUGAAAUGCGCAGAUAUCGGGAGGAACACCAAUGGCGAAGGCAGCUCGCUGGGACGUUACUGACGCUGAGACGCGAAAGCGUGGGGAGCAAACAGGG